UCAGAGUGAACGCUGGCGGCGUGGAUUAGGCAUGCAAGUCGAGCGAUCCUUGUUGAACUCUUAUUGAAGUGCUUGCACGGAUUUAAGAGAUCAACGCUGGAUAGCGGCAAACGGGUGAGUAACGCGUGAGCAACUUUCCCUUGAGACAGACAUAGCCACGUGAAAACGUGGGUAAUAGCUGAUAGUAUGAGAGAAUCGCAUGGUUCUUUCAUUAAAGGUGGGGAUCUUCGGACCUGCCGCUCGAGGAUGGGCUCGCGUCCUAUCAGCUUGUUGGUGAGGUAACGGCUCACCAAGGCGUUUGACGGGUAGCCGGCCUGAGAGGGUGACCGGCCACACUGGGACUGAGACACUGCCCAGACUCCUACGGGAGGCUGCAGUCGAGAAUAUUUAGCAAUGGACGAAAGUCUGACUAUGCGACGCCGCGUGCAGGAUGAAGGUUUUCGGAUUGUAAACNNUUUUAUCAGGAAAGAAACCUUGUCGGUUAAUAUCCGGCAAGCUGACGGUACCU
rnacentral:rRNA from 1 species